AAAAUAAAAAAACCUGGGGAAUAAUACGAUCAGAAAGGUGUUUGCCCCCCAGGGUGAGGCUCUUCCAUUGCACACUUCGGUUGGGUUGACCCCUGUGAUUUCCCCAAAUGUGGGAAACUCAACUGCAGAAUUUAUGGUAUAUAUAACUAAUUAUUGUUGUUAUUAAGU